rnacentral:rRNA from 1 species
ACGGGGGAUGCAAGUGUUAUCCGGAAUCACUGGGCGUAAAGGGCGCGUAGGCGGCGUGCUAAGUCGAACGUGAAAUCCCCGGGCUCAACCCGGGAACUGCGUCCGAGACUGGCAUGCUUGAAUCCGGGAGAGGGAUGUGGAAUUCCAGGUGUAGCGGUGAAAUGCGUAGAUAUCUGGAGGAACAUCGGUGGCGAAGGCGGCAUCCUGGACCGGUAUUGACGCUGAGGCGCGAAAGCCAGGGGAGCAAACGGGA